rnacentral:rRNA from 1 species
AGCGAACGCUGGCGGCAGGCCUAACACAUGCAAGUCGAACGAACUCUUCGGAGUUAGUGGCGGACGGGUGAGUAACACGUGGGAACGUGCCUUUAGGUUCGGAAUAACUCAGGGAAACUUGUGCUAAUACCGAAUGUGCCCUUCGGGGGAAAGAUUUAUCGCCUUUAGAGCGGCCCGCGUCUGAUUAGCUUGUUGGUGGGGUAAUGGCCCACCAAGGCGACGAUCAGUAGCUGGUCUGAGAGGAUGACCAGCCUCAUUGGGACGGAGACACGGCCCAAGCUCCUACGGGAGGCAGCAGUGGGGAAUCUUGCGCAAUGGGCGAAAGCCUGACGCAGCCAUGCCGCGUGGAUGAUGAAGGUCUUAGGAUUGUAAAAUCCUUUCACCGGUGAAGAUAAUGACUGUAGCCGGAGAAGAAGCCCCGGCUAACUUCGUGCCAGCAGCCGCCGUAAGAC